AGAGUUUGAUCAUGGCUCAGGACGAACGCUGGCGGCGUGCCUAAUACAUGCAAGUCGAGCGGACAGACGAGGUGCUUGCACCUCAGACGUUAGCGGCGAACGGGUGAGUAACACGUAAGGAACCUACCUAUAAGCGGGGGAUAACAUUCGGAAACGGGUGCUAAUACCGCAUAGUAAACCGGCUCUCAUGAACCGGUUUGGAAAGGCGGCUUCGGCUGUCACUUAUAGAUGGCCUUGCGGUGUAUUAGCUAGUUGGUGGGGUAACGGCCUACCAAGGCGAUGAUACAUAGCCGACCUGAGAGGGUGAUCGGCCACAUUGGGACUGAGACACGGCCCAAACUCCUACGGGAGGCAGCAGUAGGGAAUCUUCCGCAAUGGACGCAAGUCUGACGGAGCAACGCCGCGUGAGUGAAGAAGGUUUUCGGAUCGUAAAACUCUGUUGUAAGAGAAGAACAAACUGUAGAGUAACUGCUGCAGUCUUGACGGUAUCUUACCAGAAAGCCACGGCUAACUACGUGCCAGCAGCCGCGGUAAUACGUAGGUGGCAAGCGUUGUCCGGAUUUAUUGGGCGUAAAGGGAGCGCAGGUGGUUUCUUAAGUCUGAUGUGAAAGCCCACGGCUUAACCGUGGAGGGUCAUUGGAAACUGGGGAACUUGAGUGCAGAAGAGGAAAGUGGAAUUCCAAGUGUAGCGGUGGAAUGCGUAGAUAUUUGGAGGAACACCAGUGGCGAAGGCGACUUUCUGGUCUGUAACUGACACUGAGGCUCGAAAGCGUGGGGAGCGAACAGGAUUAGAUACCCUGGUAGUCCACGCCGUAAACGAUGAGUGCUAGGUGUUGGAGGGUUUCCGCCCUUCAGUGCCGCAGCUAACGCAUUAAGCACUCCGCCUGGGGAGUACGACCGCAAGGUUGAAACUCAAAGGAAUUGACGG
rnacentral:rRNA from 1 species